CCAAUAGCGUAUAUUAAAGUUGUUGCAGUUAAAAAGCUCGUAGUUGAAUUUCGGGGUUAGUAGGUUGGUCAUGCCUCUGGUAUGUACUGGUCUCACUGAUUCCUCCUUCCUGAUGAACCGUAAUGCCAUUAAUUUGGUGUUAUGGGGAAUUUGGACUGUUACUUUGAAAAAAUUAGAGUGUUUAAAGCAGGCUAACGCUUGAAUUCAUUAGCAUGGAAUAAUGAAAUAGGACGUUCGAUCCUAUUUUGUUGGUUUCUAGGAUUGACGUAAUGAUUAAUAGGGAUAGUUGGGGGCAUUAGUAUUCAAUUGUCAGAGGUGAAAUUCUUGGAUUUAUUGAAGACUAACUACUGCGAAAGCAUUUGCCAAGGAUGUUUUCAUUAAUCAAGAACGAAAGUUAGGAGAUCGAAGACGAUCAGAUACCGUCGUAGUCUUAACCAUAAACUAUGCUGAUUAGGGAUCAGAUGAUGUUAAUUUUUUAAUGACUCAUUCGGCGCCUUACG
rnacentral:rRNA from 1 species